GGAGGAGGAGGAGGAGGAGGUGCGCUCCGUUUCCGCGUUGUCCCGGGGCGAGGGGACGGCUCCGUGCCGUAUCCCAGCGUGGCCCGUAGCGGAGCCGGGUGCGAGAGCGGGACCGGGCCGGGAACCGGAGGGCAGGUAUGGUUUCAAAGCUGGCAAGUGUCUGUUCUGGGGAAGGUGUGAUCCCUGCCUCUCCUCCCCAGCCUGGUGCCAUGGCCGACACGAUAUUUGGCAGCGGGAUGGGCCAGUGGGUGUGCCCCAAUGACCGGCAGCUGGCACUGCGUGCCAAGCUCCAGACGGGCUGGUCAGUGCACACGUUCCAGACUGAGAAGCAGAGGAAGAUGCAGGCUCUGAGCCCGCAGGAACUUGAGGUCAUCCUGGAAGUCAUCCGCAAGGCGGAGAAAUUGGACAUCAUCGAGCAGCAGCGCAUCGGGCGCCUGGUGGAGCGGCUGGAGAACAUGAGAAAGAAUGCGAUGGGGAACGGCCUCUCGCAGUGUCUGCUCUGCGGUGAACUGCUCGGGCUGCUGGGGAGCACGUCAGUCUUUUGUCAGGAUUGCAAAAAGAAAGUGUGCACCAAGUGCGGAAUAGAAACCUUUGGAGCCCAGAAACGUCCUCUUUGGUUGUGCAAGAUCUGCAGUGAACAGAGAGAGGUUUGGAAGAGGUCUGGUGCGUGGUUCUACAAAGGGCUGCCCAAGUACAUCAUGCCUUUGAAGAGCAGCAGCAAAUCCAGUGAGCUACACUCGCAGCCUUGGCAAAGUGAGCCAGCCAUGCCAGAGGCAGAGAGCGUCGGGACCAGCCGAUCCUUCACCUGGGCCAGGGGAAAAGUGGUUUCUAGUGACAGUGAGAGCGACUCGGAGUUCAGUUCCUCCAGCCUGGAUGACAAGCCCUUACCUGUGGGGUUAAAAGGCUCACAAGGCAGAAAGCACCGAGCAGGACUGGCACCCAUCGGGGAACCCAACCAGGCCACGGGCAGGGUGCUGGGAAGCAGCCACUCCCCUACCCUCUCAGGGAGCCGCAGCAGCCUGGGCAGUGAGCAGGGGGCUGCCGUCAGUGCCGUGAAGAGCUGCCAGAGCGACCAGCCGGCGGACGGGCGCGACAGCGAUGUUGGCAACAGAGUCCCUGGCAAACGGUGUGUCCACACCAGAACACAAUGCUGAUGGAGGUGAAGAUGGAGCUGCUUUGCCUGGAUCCAAUGCGUGUCCCUUGCCCACUCCUGUAGACCUCACUCCAGACAACGACUGCUGCUGGUGGUGACUUUAUGAUGGUGGCUCUUGCACAGGCCUUAGCAACACGAUGGCACCUGGGAAAGCACCUGCCUGUCCUCCCUGCCUCACUGACUUGGUUUAUGGUUUGGUCUGUUUUCCCCUUCUACUGACUGACAUGCACUUCAAGGUGCUGCUCGGAGAAGGAUGCUGUGCUGUGCAGUGCUGCCAUGGGGUCCAGACCCGUGUUUGUUGGAAGGGGUACAUGAAGUGCUCACUUGAGCUGAAGAAACGUGUGCUGCCUCCACUGUUCCUGGCUUGCCAAGCCCAGCCUCGGGUUCAGCUCCUGGCCUCGCAGUCCUGGCUUUGCAGUCCUCAGGAGAAAGAGAAAUUCACUCCUAUCUCCCUGAAAUAGGGUGUGAGGAGACCGUAGCCCUUCUACUGCUUCUCAGCCCAGGGGUGAAUUUUCCUCUGUGAACCCCAAGGGUUGGGGAUACUCUCCAAGUCCUUGGGCUGGCUCCAGUGAGGAAAGAAAAUAAUCCAGCCAGUGGAAUGGUGAUUCACAUGGCUGGAGCAUAACUGAAUUCUGCACUCGAAAGUCAUCUUUUUGUCCUGCUCCUCUUUGGUAGGUUUUGCUGGUGAUGGCAGGGGGCACAGGUCUGCUCUUCAGCCCCUCCAUGGAAGGUUUUCCAUGUUGUAACCACUAAGCCUAAAGCAGCGCCGAUUGUCAUUCUGUCAAGUGCUGUCCCCACAGCCUCCCAAGGCUCAUCACUCGCUGCGGUUUGACGGUCAGGGUCCAUUUAGCUUUGCCUACAGAGAAGCGUCUCUGCAUUGUUCGCUGAACGUGUGCAGCCCUGGCUGCUCUGCGUUCCCUUCCACUCGGCAUUCAGCUUCAAGGUUUCAAAUGGCUUUUUAAUCUGUUUUUGCUUUUCUUAUUUUAAAAGCACCUCGAUAAUUGCUGUUGGGAUUGUUUUGCUGGGGAGCUGCCAUUAGUCCAAGGAUGGAGUGUGUCAAGGACUGACCACCUCUGACGUUGUUCCUUCCCCGCUCUGCUUGCCAUGACAACAACCAAUAUAUGGGAAAGUCGACUGGGGGAUCUCUCCGAGUCAAAAACACUGGCCAUGAAUUGCCAAGUUUCCACGUUUGGUUUUUACAGCUAUAGUUUGAGGGGAAAGGGGAUGCUUUCUCUGUGGGAGCCAUGCAUAGUAGUUCAACGUGGCUGAAGCAAAUGAGCUACCAGCUGGUGUUUAGACAAUGUGUUUCUGGCCAUUACUGAAUCAGACAGCAAAGGCCCUGGACUAUCAGCUGGAGUGCUUUGACAGUGACACAAAAUGGCAGAUAACCUCUGCAGAUGCCUGAAGUUCAUUUGUAAAAUAAAACUUAGCAGCAGUUGCUCUUCUCUCCUUCCUACCCCUCCCAGAAGAUGUUUCCUUCCAGGGGAGAGGGCUGGUGGCAGUGAUGUCUCACCAGCCCACCUCUCCUAUU